rnacentral:lncRNA from 1 species
UGCUGUGUUUUUUUCAUGACGUAACUCAGGAAACGAACAUCCCCUUUUUACAGUGCGUCCUCUGUAGUGCGUGGAGAUAAGAACUGGUACAUCUUGUUAAAUGCUGAGUGUAGGUGUACCCUACUAACCAGUUCCUUCAGUGUUUUUAAGGAGAACGCUGCCCUGUGCUGAAGUCAUUGCACGGCUGGGAGCUUCAAAAGAAGGCAGAAGAAUACAAGGAAAUUGCUAAGAUUCCUCUGAGUAUGAAGAGGGCAUGAGGGAAGGAUCUGAAGGAUAGAGCUGAAAAUACUGCUCUUGUCUGCAACUGUAGGGAAUCUCUCAGGUUAAAAAACGUGCCUUCUCUGCGGUGAAAGAUUGUCAUUGGAGCUUCCUGAAGGUGCCAGAUGGUGAUGAAGA